rnacentral:rRNA from 1 species
AGAGUUUGAUCCUGGCUCAGGAUGAACGCUGGCGGCGUGCUUAACACAUGCAAGUCGAACGGAAAGGCCCUGCUUGCAGGGUACUCGAGUGGCGAACGGGUGAGUAACACGUGGGUGAUCUGCCCUGUACUUCGGGAUAAGCUUGGGAAACUGGGUCUAAUACCGGAUAUUCAACUUUUGUUGGAAAGCCUUUGGGCGGUAUGGGAUGAGCUUGCGGCCUAUCAGCUUGUUGGUGGGGUAAUGGCCUACCAAGGCGUCGACGGGUAGCCGGCCUGAGAGGGUGUACGGCCACAUUGGGACUGAGAUACGGCCCAGACUCCUACGGGAGGCAGCAGUGGGGAAUAUUGCACAAUGGGCGGAAGCCUGAUGCAGCGACGCCGCGUGGGGGAUGACGGCCUUCGGGUUGUAAACUCCUUUCGCUAGGGACGAAGCUUUUGUGACGGUACCUAGAUAAGAAGCACCGGCUAACUACGUGCCAGCAGCCGCGGUAAUACGUAGGGUGCAAGCGUUGUCCGGAAUUACUGGGCGUAAAGAGCUCGUAGGUGGUUUGUCGCGUCGUCUGUGGAAGUCCGGGGCUUAACUUCGGGAGUGCAGGCGAUACGGGCAUAACUUGAGUGCUGUAGGGGAGACUGGAAUUCCUGGUGUAGCGGUGAAAUGCGCAGAUAUCAGGAGGAACACCGAUGGCGAAGGCAGGUCUCUGGGCAGUAACUGACGCUGAGGAGCGAAAGCAUGGGUAGCGAACAGGAUUAGAUACCCUGGUAGUCCAUGCUGUAAACGGUGGGCGCUAGGUGUAGGGGACUUCCACGUUUUCUGUGCCGUAGCUAACGCAUUAAGCGCCCCGCCUGGGGAGUACGGCCGCAAGGCUAAAACUCAAAGGAAUUGACGGGG